rnacentral:lncRNA from 1 species
AUGCUUUAGUGUAAAAAUUCAUUUUCUAGAAGAUGAAAUGAUAUUCUUACCUGUUUCACAGCUGGACCCAGUGAAGCCUUGUGGGCAGGCACACACAUUAGCAGCAAUACAGGCUCCUCCAUUUCUACAGCCAUCUUUGCAAAAUGCUUUGCAUGUGGUGCCAUUCCCUGUAUAUCCAGGCUUGCAAACACAGUUGUGUCCUCCUACAGUGUUGAAGCACAAAGCAUUUUCAUCACAGUUGUGCUGAUUUGUGACACACUCAUCAUGUUCUGAAAUGAGGAAUAAAAUGUUGUUACCUAAAGAUAUAUUUUGAAAGAUACUAU